rnacentral:sRNA from 1 species
AUGCGUGAAAUAGAUUUAGUAAUGUUUAUGGGGCCACGAUUUGGUCAAAAAGCCCAUGAGCCAAAGAACCAAAUAGACUUAGUGAUGUUUAUCGGGCCAAGAUUUAGUCAAAAAACCUAUGAACCGAAAUGACCUAAGAAAACCCAGUUAAAAUUGCAAACCCUUGAUUUCAUUUUCUCCUAUUCGAUCGACGCAAUUCAGAGGACGACGAAAGAGAAAAAGAGUGUUUCAGUCACUGCCCUGUUGAUGCACGAAUUUCAACAAAGUAUAUUUCUAAGUUCUUUGAUAAGGGAAAAACAUUCUCAUCGCGUUGAAGGUCGGGAGUUAGGUCGUUCUUGCGAUAAACAUAGUUUAUUAGUUUUAUAGCUAGGCGAGGAGAUGGUCGUUGAGUGAUGUGGAGCUUGAAGACGAGCUGGAGAGCUUAAAGACGAGCUGAGGAGCUUGAGGACGAGCUCAGGAGCUUGAGGACGAGCUGGGGAACUUGAGGACGAGCUGAGGAGCUUGAGGACGAGCUGAGAAGCUUGAGGACGAGCAGAGGAGCUAGAGGACGAGCAGAGGAGCUUGAGAACGAGCUAAGGAGCUUGAGGACGAGCUGAGGAGCUUGAGGGCGAGCAGAGGAGCUAGAGAACGAGCUGAGGAGCUUGAAGACGUUUUAAUAUGGAUUUUUUCCUCCUUUUUUCCUUGAGAUGCCUCUCUAUUUAUAGAAAAACUAAGCUGGUGAUAGGAUCAUGGACCAACUUUUAUGGGCUUUUUGGGCUUGAUGUUGAUUAGUUUAUUCUUGAUUUGGGCCGAGCUAAAAUGAGGGGUGCAAUCCAUCUCCAACAUGCCCCAUGGAGCUUUCCGUAUUUUUCUUCCCCAGAAGCUCAAACAUCAACAGUUAUUUACUAAAAGGUACUUAAAUACAUGGCUUAAUUCCUACAAAAUUCCACUACUUGCAAUUUAAUUCAUACUUUUAAUAUCUCAAAUCGAAACUGUAACUGGAGAAAAGCAAAAACCUCCUAUAGAUCUUCCUUUAAACUACUAUAAAAUCAUCAUCUCCCAUCACCCCCAAACACAAUUAUCAAUUUCCACCAGAAAAUAUUACACACUCUGAAAAUGGCUGAAGUUGAUGUUGUUGCAAUUCCUUCUAAAGCAAACUAUGUAGCUUUUGAUGCUUUACGUCUUGGUCGCUCUACUCAACAGGUUGUUGGUCGCCUACUUCGUUUUUGGGAUGCUCGCAACAUCAAGAAAGAUGGCCAAUUCAUGGGCAUAGUCCUCCUGUUACUUGAUGAAAAAGUAAAUCAUCUUAGAUGUUUAAUGUUUUUUUUGUUUCAUAUGUAAUUGAUGGCCAACUAACACUUAAUUUGUUUCAUUAAUAGUGCUCCGUAAUCCAUGCUUUUAUCCCAGCAGCUCUUGCUUCACAUUUCCGCCAAGUUUUGCGUGAAGGCAUAAUCUUCAAUGUUAGUGGGUUUGAAGUGGGACGUUGCACGAAACUCUACAAGAUCACUGACCAUCCUUUUCUCCUCCGUUUUCUCCCUGCCACAACGAUUAUUGAAGUUUCAGAUGUUGGCCCUACAAUUGAGAGGGAAAAAUUUAUGCUACGUAACUUUGACAACCUUCAAGCUCUUGCUAACACCAACAUUGAACUUCCUGGUAAUAUUCUUCAUGAUUCUUACAUUUUUUA